ACGGGAGGCAGCAGUGAGGAAUAUUGGUCAAUGGAGGCAACUCUGAACCAGCCAAGUCGCGUGAAGGAAGAAGGCCCUACGGGUCGUAAACUUCUUUUGCAGGGGGAUAAAGUCGGCCACGCGUGGCCGUUUGCAGGUACCCUGUGAAUAAGCAUCGGCUAACUCCGUGCCAGCAGCCGCGGUAAUACGGAGGAUGCGAGCGUUAUCCGGAUUUAUUGGGUUUAAAGGGUGCGCAGGCGGGCUGUUAAGUCAGUGGUUAAAUCGUGACGCUCAACGUCAUCACGCCAUUGAUACUGGAGAGCUUGAUUGCGGUCGAGGUUUGCGGAAUUCGUUGUGUAGCGGUGAAAUGCAUAGAUAUGACGAAGAACACCGAUUGCGUAGGCAGCAGACCAGGCCGUAAAUGACGCUCAUGCACGAAAGUGCGGGGAUCGAACAGGAUUAGAUACCCUGGUA
rnacentral:rRNA from 1 species